UACAGAGGUCUCAAGCGUUGUUCGGAUUCAUUGGGCGUAAAGGGUGUGUAGGUGGCGCCGUAAGUCGGGGGUGAAAUUUCGGAGCUUAACUCCGAAACUGCAUUCGAUACUGCGGUGCUUGAGGACUGGAGAGGAGACUGGAAUUCAUGGUGUAGCAGUGAAAUGCGUAGAGAUCAUGAGGAAGACCAGUGGCGAAGGCGGGUCUCUGGACAGUUCCUGACACUGAGGCACGAAGGCUAGGGGAGCGAACGGG
rnacentral:rRNA from 1 species